UCCAUUUUAGAAUAAGGUUGUAACGUAACAAAAUAUGAAAAAAGUCAAGGGGUUUGAAUACUUUCCGAAGGCACUGUUACAUGUCUGUCAUUGAAAAACCCCAUGCAACCCCAUGAAAAAACACAUCUCUUUCAUAAGUUCUUCAAAAAAAUAACAGCUAAUUUACAAACAUUUCUGAAAAUGGAUAUAUAGGGUUUGGAAUUAAACUCUUAAUUUACGUUACUUAUUGAUUGAUUGAUUUUACAUAACUAGCCUCGUCGAAUACCAGGCUUCCCUAAUCAGGUAAGCCUGGGGAAGUCAAUGGUAGAAAGUGUCUAAAAAGGGUUGGAGACCCAGUGUAAAUCAGUGACGCCUGGCAACACGUCAAACCCAUCAACUCCCUUGCUUGGGCAGAGUUCCAAAGCGAGAGAAAAUAUGCUCUGACGUCUGAGUGAAAAGUUUCCCACUCACAGUCUCACACAGUAUGUUGCCUGACUAUAAUAUUUUAUCUUGAUACGUUAAUAAAUACAUACUGUGCUCAUUUUGGCAUGUUUAACUGUCUAGAAUAUCCAUUGUAAUGUGCGUAGACCGUAGACUAACUAACAAAGAAUUGGUAGCUAACUAGCUACCCACGAACAUUGAUUAUUAUGUUACAAGCUUGUUUUUGCUUUAUGUAGUUAUCUUGUUUUAUCUCUAUUGGUCAAAGGUAAUACAGUAGCACGGGAGUGUGCUUCUCAAAUGUACAUUUUCAUGCGUUCUCCACACUCGUCCUCACACGAACCUUCUAAAUAAAACGUCAUCGGAGUGACACACGUCAUAACAAGCGGCACCCAAUCUACGGGCAUGUGGGGGGAGGGUUCUUGAAAUGUAAAAUAAAUGCAGCGCUCAAAUCUAGCCAUUUCGGCUAAUACAAACAUCUUCAGACUUCCAAAGGAGCGGCGUAACACGAGACUAGUACAUUACAUUACAUCUACACACAGUAUUUUACAUAUCUGCACUAAGUAUUUAUUUUCUCUGAAACUCAUUGAUGACAAUAACACCAUUAUCUUACGGUACUAUCAACCAGCGGUGUGGACUCGAGUCACAUGACUUGGACUCGAGUCAGACUCGAGUCACAAAUAUGAUGAUUUUAGAAUUGACUUGACAAAAUCAAUAAAGGCUUGCAACUCGACUUUGACUUUAACACCAAUGACUCGUGACUUAACUUGGACUUGUCUUUUGACUCAAACUGACUUGAUAAGCCCAAUUAUUAAAAAUGAUGCUUUUAAAAAAAGGGUGCAGCGCAUCAACUCUUCAUUUAAUGGAUUACAGUUUGAAUUUGACAGCAGCCAAUCAAAUUGUGCCAGUGGAGAAAAAGUUGUGCGUGGCAGUGCAGAGGAACGUCGGCAGGUGAAUUCAGACAGAGCCCUUGGAAAGAUGAUAACCAAAAUUAUUAUUUUGGGAUAUAAAGACUACGCUGUAGUCAACAAAAAAUGUAUUGCAACUUGCCAAACAUGCGUGAAGAAAAUUACAAACGGAGGCGCGACAACUUACAACUUUGUUUGACAUUGGAAGCUGCACAAAGAAUGGUAAGUUGUGGCUAAUAUAGCCGACAGCUAUAUAUAACUUUGCUUGUGUAGCAUGUAGGCUAACGUAACGUUAAAUCAAUGAGCCUCCACACAGUCAGUCAGUGCGGGAAAGUGAUCACACACAGAGUGUGUGUGUGCGCGUGCGUUAAGGUUGGACGAUUGUGUACAAGCCUACAGCACAUUGCCCACACUCCAGCUGGUGGUGGGAGAUGGCUUGAAAUAAACAAAAGUAAUGAUGACUAUUUCAAAGUUAUCAAAUAUCAGCUCACUGCUGCAUACAAGCACAACAUUCAAAGAGGUGUUUGAGGCUGAAUUUGGGGGAAAAGGCAUCCCUGCUGCUGUCAACACAAGAUGGAACUCAACACUGAGACAAGUGAAGGCAGUUAUCCAAUGUGACCAUCUAAAGCUCUAUCAUAUUCUAGAAAAGACUGGGCACAAUGAGUUGUUCACAGUACGGGAGACAUCCUGAAGCCUUUUGGAGAAGCAACAGAUUUGACACACGGGGAGAAGAUAGUCACAAUCAGUUCUGUUGUUCCCUUGGUCCUGUCCAUGAAUCACCACCUGGAGCAGCGGAAGCCUCAAGUCCAUUUCCUGAGUGGCCUGGUCAGAAGUCUCCAGGCAUCCCCGAACAAAAGAUUUCUUGGAAUCUUCAUCAAUGUGAAAAUGGCCAGGACACAAGAUGGAAUCACUGCCCCCUUUUCAGAUCCAGUCUACCUCAAAGCAGCUGCCUUGGAUCUGGCUUUUUCUCUGAUGUGGGUGGAGCACCAUGUGCUGGUCAAAGAGGAGGUGGCACAAAGAGUGAAAGUUACUGAGUCUGCAGGAUGCUGCAGGGACUGAGCAAGCUGUGCCUCUUGUUGAUGAGGAAGAGCGAGAGGACCAUAGCCUUGGACAAUUAAAAGGGCUUUUUGCAGCACACUGUAAGAGGUAGAAGAAAGCUGUUGGGACCACUCCAGCACUACAGCUAAGUCACUACCUUGACAUAUGCGAAGGACAGAAUGCCCUCUUGUUCUGGGCAAUGAACAUGAAGGCUCUUCCUUCGCUGUCCCGAGUGGCCAUCAGGGUCUUGGCAGUGCCUGUCUCCAGUGCUCCGGUGGUGCGUCUCUUCAGCCAUGGUGGCAUCAUACUGCGGCCUCAUCGUGCACAAAUGACUGACAGACUUUUAUCGAAUUUGGUCUUUUGCAAAUGCAAUGCAUCGUAGGGCCCUGAGAUAAGAUAAAAAAUGUAACUGUUUAUGCAUUAACACACACACACAUGUAGUCUCCAUGUUCAGGUUUUAUCUCCCAUCUUUGGGAUCUGUAUUUUUUUUAUCAGACAUUCAGGCCAGUGUUCAAAUUGUAGGCCUACUUGAAGUUCAGUAGCAGUUGUUUUGAUGUACCUUUUAAUAAAUGAUUGUAACUUUAUGGCA